UUAAGUUAUUAAGGGCGCACGGUGGAUGCCUUGGCACUAGAAGCCGAUGAAGGACGUUACUAACGACGAUAUGCUUUGGGGAGCUGUAAGUAAGCUUUGAUCCAGAGAUUUCCGAAUGGGGAAACCCAGCAUGAGUUAUGUCAUGUUAUCGAUAUGUGAAUACAUAGCAUAUCAGAAGGCACACCCGGAGAACUGAAACAUCUUAGUACCCGGAGGAAGAGAAAGAAAAUUCGAUUCCCUUAGUAGCGGCGAGCGAAAUGGGAAGAGCCCAAACCAACAAGCUUGCUUGUUGGGGUUGUAGGACACUCUAUACGGAGUUACAAAGGACGACAUUAGACGAAUCAUCUGGAAAGAUGAAUCAAAGAAGGUAAUAAUCCUGUAGUCGAAAAUGUUGUCUCUCUUGAGUGGAUCCUGAGUACGACGGAGCACGUGAAAUUCCGUCGGAAUCUGGGAGGACCAUCUCCUAAGGCUAAAUACUCUCUAGUGACCGAUAGUGAACCAGUACCGUGAGGGAAAGGUGAAAAGCACCCCGGAAGGGGAGUGAAAUAGAACCUGAAACCGUGUGCUUACAAGUAGUCAGAGCCCGUUAAUGGGUGAUGGCGUGCCUUUUGUAGAAUGAACCGGCGAGUUACGAUUUGAUGCAAGGUUAAGCAGUAAAUGUGGAGCCGUAGCGAAAGCGAGUCUGAAUAGGGCGUUUAGUAUUUGGUCGUAGACCCGAAACCAGGUGAUCUACCCUUGGUCAGGUUGAAGUUCAGGUAACACUGAAUGGAGGACCGAACCGACUUACGUUGAAAAGUGAGCGGAUGAACUGAGGGUAGCGGAGAAAUUCCAAUCGAACCUGGAGAUAGCUGGUUCUCUCCGAAAUAGCUUUAGGGCUAGCCUCAAGUGAUGAUUAUUGGAGGUAGAGCACUGUUUGGACGAGGGGCCCCUCUCGGGUUACCGAAUUCAGACAAACUCCGAAUGCCAAUUAAUUUAACUUGGGAGUCAGAACAUGGGUGAUAAGGUCCGUGUUCGAAAGGGAAACAGCCCAGACCACCAGCUAAGGUCCCAAAAUAUAUGUUAAGUGGAAAAGGAUGUGGCGUUGCCCAGACAACUAGGAUGUUGGCUUAGAAGCAGCCAUCAUUUAAAGAGUGCGUAAUAGCUCACUAGUCGAGUGACACUGCGCCGAAAAUGUACCGGGGCUAAACAUAUUACCGAAGCUGUGGAUUGUCCUUUGGACAAUGGUAGGAGAGCGUUCUAAGGGCGUUGAAGCAUGAUCGUAAGGACAUGUGGAGCGCUUAGAAGUGAGAAUGCCGGUGUGAGUAGCGAAAGACGGGUGAGAAUCCCGUCCACCGAUUGACUAAGGUUUCCAGAGGAAGGCUCGUCCGCUCUGGGUUAGUCGGGUCCUAAGCUGAGGCCGACAGGCGUAGGCGAUGGAUAACAGGUUGAUAUUCCUGUACCACCUAUAAUCGUUUUAAUCGAUGGGGGGACGCAGUAGGAUAGGCGAAGCGUGCGAUUGGAUUGCACGUCUAAGCAGUAAGGCUGAGUAUUAGGCAAAUCCGGUACUCGUUAAGGCUGAGCUGUGAUGGGGAGAAGACAUUGUGUCUUCGAGUCGUUGAUUUCACACUGCCGAGAAAAGCCUCUAGAUAGAAAAUAGGUGCCCGUACCGCAAACCGACACAGGUAGUCAAGAUGAGAAUUCUAAGGUGAGCGAGCGAACUCUCGUUAAGGAACUCGGCAAAAUGACCCCGUAACUUCGGGAGAAGGGGUGCUCUUUAGGGUUAACGCCCAGAAGAGCCGCAGUGAAUAGGCCCAAGCGACUGUUUAUCAAAAACACAGGUCUCUGCUAAACCGUAAGGUGAUGUAUAGGGGCUGACGCCUGCCCGGUGCUGGAAGGUUAAGAGGAGUGGUUAGCUUCUGCGAAGCUACGAAUCGAAGCCCCAGUAAACGGCGGCCGUAACUAUAACGGUCCUAAGGUAGCGAAAUUCCUUGUCGGGUAAGUUCCGACCCGCACGAAAGGCGUAACGAUUUGGGCACUGUCUCAACGAGAGACUCGGUGAAAUCAUAGUACCUGUGAAGAUGCAGGUUACCCGCGACAGGACGGAAAGACCCCGUGGAGCUUUACUGUAGCCUGAUAUUGAAAUUCGGCACAGCUUGUACAGGAUAGGUAGGAGCCUUUGAAACGUGAGCGCUAGCUUACGUGGAGGCGCUGGUGGGAUACUACCCUAGCUGUGUUGGCUUUCUAACCCGCACCACUUAUCGUGGUGGGAGACAGUGUCAGGCGGGCAGUUUGACUGGGGCGGUCGCCUCCUAAAAGGUAACGGAGGCGCUCAAAGGUUCCCUCAGAAUGGUUGGAAAUCAUUCAUAGAGUGUAAAGGCAUAAGGGAGCUUGACUGCGAGACCUACAAGUCGAGCAGGGUCGAAAGACGGACUUAGUGAUCCGGUGGUUCCGCAUGGAAGGGCCAUCGCUCAACGGAUAAAAGCUACCCCGGGGAUAACAGGCUUAUCUCCCCCAAGAGUUCACAUCGACGGGGAGGUUUGGCACCUCGAUGUCGGCUCAUCGCAUCCUGGGGCUGUAGUCGGUCCCAAGGGUUGGGCUGUUCGCCCAUUAAAGCGGUACGCGAGCUGGGUUCAGAACGUCGUGAGACAGUUCGGUCCCUAUCCGUCGUGGGCGUAGGAAAUUUGAGAGGAGCUGUCCUUAGUACGAGAGGACCGGGAUGGACAUACCUCUGGUGUACCAGUUGUCGUGCCAACGGCAUAGCUGGGUAGCUAUGUGUGGACGGGAUAAGUGCUGAAAGCAUCUAAGCAUGAAUUCCCCCCUCAAGAUGAGAUUUCCCAACUUUCGGUUAAUAAGAUCCCUCAAAGAUGAUGAGGUUAAUAGGUUCGAGGUGGAAGCAUGGUGACAUGUGGAGCUGACGAAUACUAAUCGAUCGAAGACUUAAUCAA
rnacentral:rRNA from 1 species